rnacentral:lncRNA from 1 species
UUCUUGUGGCUGCCUUGCCUUAAAUGGAUUUCCUAACCUCUCUGUCUCCUCUUCAACCAAGGGAGGCUUGUCUGCUACCACACCAGAUAUUGGGAGAACUACAGAAAAUCCCCAUAGUUUGCACCUCCCGCUGCAGAGUGGGAAGAGACACACAGACACAGCUGCAGAGUGGGAAGAGACACACAGACACAGGUCGCCAGGAUCCUCCAUCCCUUGAAGCAGACCCAUGGUUUGUGGGGUAGAGAAUCAUGUGGCCCCAGCUGCUCCAGGAUCCAGGUCAAGACUCCUGUCUCACACUCUACAGACAGAACUGAUGUGGCCCUGGGUCACAGCAUAACUAGCAGGGAGCCCAAGGAGCCAGGCCAGGCCAGGCCAGGAGCCUGGGCUAAGUAGUUUCUAGAACUAACCCCAUGUUAAAGUGGACAACUGUCAUCAAAGACCUGCCAGUGUGUCUUCUAGAACCAUCACAGACCCAGAGGCCCUUUCAGCAGCUGCACAACCCAAGCUGUAAUACAGCUGCAAUCUAGCCAGGCAUCAAUGGAGCUGGGGAACCUGCUUUAUUUGCAUCACAAGAUCAGCCUGGUACCUUAGUUCCCUGGCAGUGCAGGGGCAGCACUCCUCC